CCUACGGGGCGCAGCAGUGGGGAAUAUUGGACAAUGGGCGAAAGCCUGAUCCAGCCAUGCCGCGUGUGUGAAGAAGGCCUUCGGGUUGUAAAGCACUUUCAGUGGGGAAGAAAGCCUUGGGGCUAAUACCCUCGAGGAAGGACAUCACCCACAGAAGAAGCACCGGCUAACUCCGUGCCAGCAGCCGCGGUAAUACGGAGGGUGCGAGCGUUAAUCGGAAUUACUGGGCGUAAAGCGCGCGUAGGCGGUCUGAUAAGCCGGUUGUGAAAGCCCCGGGCUCAACCUGGGAACGGCAUCCGGAACUGUCAGGCUAGAGUGCAGGAGAGGAAGGUAGAAUUCCCGGUGUAGCGGUGAAAUGCGUAGAGAUCGGGAGGAAUACCAGUGGCGAAGGCGGCCUUCUGGACUGACACUGACGCUGAGGUGCGAAAGCGUGGGUAGCAAACAGGAUUAAUACCCCAUAGUC
rnacentral:rRNA from 1 species